rnacentral:rRNA from 1 species
AAAUUGAAGAGUUUGAUCAUGGCUCAGAUUGAACGCUGGCGGCAGGCCUAACACAUGCAAGUCGAGCGGCAGCGGGAAAGUAGCUUGCUACUUUUGCCGGCGAGCGGCGGACGGGUGAGUAAUGCCUGGGGAUCUGCCCAGUCGAGGGGGAUAACAGUUGGAAACGACUGCUAAUACCGCAUACGCCCUACGGGGGAAAGGAGGGGACCUUCGGGCCUUUCGCGAUUGGAUGAACC